rnacentral:rRNA from 1 species
AUUGAACGCUGGCGGCAGGCUUAACACAUGCAAGUCGAGCGGAGAUGAGGUGCUUGCACCUUAUCUUAGCGGCGGACGGGUGAGUAAUGCUUAGGAAUCUGCCAUUUAGUGGGGGACAACAUUCCGUAAGGAAUGCUAUUACCGCAUACGUCCUACGGGAGAAAGCAGGGGAUCUUCGGACCUUGCGCUAAAUGAUGAGCCUAAGUCGGAUUAGCUAGUUGGUAGGGUAAAGGCCUACCAAGGCGAAGAUCUGUAGCGGGUCUGAGAGGAUGGUCCGCCGCACUGGGACUGAGACACGGCCCAGACUCCUACGGGAGGCAGCAGUGGGGAAUAUUGGACAAUGGGCGGAAGCCUGAUCCAGCCAUGCCGCGUGUGUGAAGAAGGCCUUUUGGUUGUAAAGCACUUUAAGCGAGGAGGAGGCUACUGAGACUAAUACUCUUGGAUAGUGGACGUUACUCGCAGAAUAAGCACCGGCUAACUCCGUGCCAGCCGCCGCCGUAAAAC